rnacentral:rRNA from 1 species
UAGGGAAUCUUCCACAAUGGGCGCAAGCCUGAUGGAGCAACACCGCGUGAGUGAAGAAGGGUUUCGGCUCGUAAAGCUCUGUUGUUAAAGAAGAACACGUAUGAGAGUAACUGUUCAUACGUUGACGGUAUUUAACCAGAAAGUCACGGCUAACUACGUGCCAGCAGCCGCGGUAAUACGUAGGUGGCAAGCGUUAUCCGGAUUUAUUGGGCGUAAAGAGAGUGCAGGCGGUUUUUCUAAGUCUGAUGUGAAAGCCUUCGGCUUAACCGGAGAAGUGCAUCGGAAACUGGAUAACUUGAGUGCAGAAGAGGGUAGUGGAACUCCAUGUGUAGCGGUGGAAUGCGUAGAUAUAUGGAAGAACACCAGUGGCGAAGGCGGCUACCUGGUCUGCAACUGACGCUGAGACUCGAAAGCAUGGGUAGCGAACAGGAUUAGAUACCCUGGUAGUCCAUGCCGUAAACGAUGAGUGCUAGGUGUUGGAGGGUUUCCGCCCUUCAGUGCCGGAGCUAACGCAUUAAGCACUCCGCCUGGGGGAGUACGACCGCA